rnacentral:rRNA from 1 species
GACGAACGCUGGCGGCGUGCCUAAUACAUGCAAGUAGGACGCUGAAGGAGGAGCUUGCUUCUCCGGAUGAGUUGCGAACGGGUGAGUAACGCGUAGGUAACCUGCCUGGUAGCGGGGGAUAACUAUUGGAAACGAUAGCUAAUACCGCAUAACAGUAGAUGUUGCAUGACAUUUGCUUAAAAGGUGCAAUUGCAUCACUACCAGAUGGACCUGCGUUGUAUUAGCUAGUUGGUGAGGUAACGGCUCACCAAGGCGACGAUACAUAGCCGACCUGAGAGGGUGAUCGGCCACACUGGGACUGAGACACGGCCCAGACUCCUACGGGAGGCAGCAGUAGGGAAUCUUCGGCAAUGGACGGAAGUCUGACCGAGCAACGCCGCGUGAGUGAAGAAGGUUUUCGGAUCGUAAAGCUCUGUUGUAAGAGAAGAACGAGUGUGAGAGUGGAAAGUUCACACUGUGACGGUAUCUUACCAGAAAGGGACGGCUAACUACGUG